UAAAAUCAGCUACUUACCCUUUUUGUCAGAUUUAAGAUACUGACAUCAAGCAAGUAGUGCAGUUGUCUCUUAAUUAAGUGUUGUAACUAUUCUAAUUCAGUGUCCUUUCAUCAGUCAUUUAUCAUCACUUUUACUGCUCGUACUAUUACUUCUUAUGCUAAUUGCCAACUGAAAUGCUCCUAAACUACAUAACUGCAUAAAUAUUUCCUGGGAGAAGAGUUCAGCAUUUCUCAUGCUCAUUGGAAAAAAAUUCUACAGGAAAACAUAUUCUGCCCAGAGCACGGGUUGCAAAAUCUGAAGUAAUGUGAUUUGUCUGUGGCCAGGACAGCUAAUCAUCUCCUCGUGGUGGAAUGGACAUGUUGGUUUCUGCAUGUUUCCUACAAAUGCUGAAUCAAGUGGACUUUGGAAGACAGGUGAAGGACUCACCUGGUAGAAAGCAAUUCUGAAAAGCUUCAUUGCGCUUGAUGUUUCUUGAAAAUCUACACACCAAAAUGAAAUGAGAUGAACACAUCCCAUACUGAAAAUUAAUGGCAUGUUCAAAAGAAACCUCAAAUUAUGAUCCCAAAAGAAAAAAUAAAAGGAC
rnacentral:lncRNA from 1 species